GAUGAACGCUGGCGGCGUGCCUAAUACAUGCAAGUCGAGCGAACAGACGAGGAGCUUGCUCCUCUGACGUUAGCGGCGGACGGGUGAGUAACACGUGGAUAACCUACCUGUAAGACUGGGAUAACUUCGGGAAACCGGAGCUAAUACCGGAUAAUAUAUUGAACCGCAUGGUUCAAUAGUGAAAGACGGUUUUGCUUUCACUUAUAGAUGGAUCCGCGCCGCAUUAGCUAGUUGGUAAGGUAACGGCUUACCAAGGCAACGAUGCGUAGCCGACCUGAGAGGGUGAGCGGCCACACUGGAACUGAGACACGGUCCAGACUCCUACGGGAGGCAGCAGUAGGGAAUCUUCCGCAAUGGGCGAAAGCCUGACGGAGCAACGCCGCGUGAGUGAUGAAGGUCUUCGGAUCGUAAAACUCUGUUAUUAGGGAAGAACAAAUGUGUAAGUAACUAUGCACGUCUUGACGGUACCUAAUCAGAAAGCCACGGCUAACUACGUG
rnacentral:rRNA from 1 species